rnacentral:rRNA from 1 species
AUUGAACGCUGGCGGCAUGCCUUACACAUGCAAGUCGAACGGCAGCAUGAUCUAGCUUGCUAGAUUGAUGGCGAGUGGCGAACGGGUGAGUAAUACAUCGGAACGUGCCCUGUAGUGGGGGAUAACUAGUCGAAAGAUUAGCUAAUACCGCAUACGACCUGAGGGUGAAAGCGGGGGACCGCAAGGCCUCAUGCUAUAGGAGCGGCCGAUGUCUGAUUAGCUAGUUGGUGAGGUAAAGGCUCACCAAGGCGACGAUCAGUAGCUGGUCUGAGAGGACGAUCAGCCACACUGGGACUGAGACACGGCCCAGACUCCUACGGGAGGCAGCAGUGGGGAAUUUUGGACAAUGGGCGAAAGCCUGAUCCAGCAAUGCCGCGUGUGUGAAGAAGGCCUUCGGGUUGUAAAGCACUUUUGUCCGGAAAGAAAUGGCUCUGGUUAAUACCUGGGGUCGAUGACGGUACCGGAAGAAUAAGGACCGGCUAACUACGUG